GCUGCUCUUCGUGUGUCAUGGAAGCAUGAAACAGAGGGGAAACUCUCCUCCCAUCUAGGAGGGAGACCAAGGAAGAAGAAGGAGGGGGCUUUCUUCCCCCACGGCCAUGCGCUACAACUAAGGGAACCCAUGCCUCGCACUGCUAAAAAACCCUUCUCUCUCUCUCUCGCGUGCGCGUGAGCCCCACUGUUAGUCUCUCUCUCAGUUGCGAUUCCUCGCCGCCGUCGCCACAUACGCCGGCCGCAUCGCCUUCCUUCAACGACUCCUGCCACCGCCAGGCUUCCUCUGGAGGUUGCCUCCAUCUCCUAUGUGCGCCCCUCCAGCUGGAUUUAAUGCUCGUCCGUUCGUGGCCACCAGUAGCCCUCCCGCACGGCUAGGGUUUCGGUCGCGGCGGCGCUUCUCACUCCGGCGAGUUCAAUGCAUCCUCCUUCAUUUUUCUAUCUCUCCCCUCCUCGUUUAAUCUCUAUUCGGGUCUUCUCUUCUAGAUGUGCAGAGAAGAAGGGGAUCAACAAGUCCCAGAUCCAGCACACCUCCAUGCCAUUGACCCUUGACGAAUGAAGGUCGAGGAAGCCCACUAUAUCUGUAUUCGGCCACAAGAAGAUGACAUGGAGCUCGUCUACCUGCUCAUCCGUUUGUUGGGUUGCAUACAUCUUCUCUGCUCCCCACUCUGAAAACCAAACCCCUUUCUUCUGUCUACAUUUAAUAGGUUGGAACUUUGUCAUUUCAACUGGAUAGAUGGAUGUAUUCAUUUCAUCAUGCACUAUAUUUUUGCUCAACUGUUGUUAGUGCUUAGGUUGUACUAUUAGCAGCGGCACAAGUGCAAAAAGGGUUUUAGAUUUCUCACUUGUGCAAAGAAUAAGUUCACUCAAUCUAAUAUUGAUAUUUACAUUGUAAAUCCGUAUGUAAUUUCAGUGAAUUCCCUUUGUAAUCGUAGACGGUCUUUGCAAUGUUGAAUUGUAGUACCGGGUAGACUAAUAAAAGACUAAAACUAUAGUUCAAAUCAUUGUUACUUAACUGAAAAUAUGCAUAAUCACACUGCAACUUCUGUAAUUAUAGUGUAAUUUAAUGUGCAUUUUGUCCCAGUAAUGUGUACUCCUUCUCUUUUUGGUGGCCUGAAUAUAAAGUUGUUUUGGACUGUAAUUUUCAGUAAUGUGUCACUUUUGAUUUAUCUGAAUAUUUUUGUAUUCUUGUCAAUUUUGUGCCCCAUUCUAAAGAAUUUCAGUAAAUGUGUGCGCCCCAUUCUUUAAAUACUACAUUUUACAAUAACCUGAUGUUUGUUUUCUUUGUUUUAUUUUCAACAAGAAGAUAGCCUCUUCAUCUUGAGAUGCUAAGAACAUGAGGGGAGCCGUUUCUCACAGGAGGGAGUAGGUUAAGACCUCACUAUCCACUUCAACCAAGAGAUUUGAAGAGUUGCAAAAGGGUAAUGAGAUGUUAUAGCGGCAGACUCAAUCCAUGUCACUGCAGUGCAAUUGCACCAUUCCAUUGAAUAAGGACAUUUCGCUAGCAGAUUAGCUCUAUUUUUCCUUUUCAUUUUUGCUAUUAUAGGAGCGAGGAUAGGUAGAAUGAGCAAGUAUGUGAUAGUAGAUACAAAAACUGUGUGAUUGUAGAAUGAGGAAUGAUAACAUUUUCAUCACUAUUGUGUUUUCUCGGAAUAGUAUGCGUAAAAUGGAUUUGCUCAGUUUUA